rnacentral:rRNA from 1 species
UACAGAGGUCUCAAGCGUUGUUCGGAUUCAUUGGGCGUAAAGGGUGCGUAGGUGGCGCUGUAAGUCGGGUGUGAAAUUUCGGAGCUUAACUCCGAAACUGCAUUCGAUACUGCGGUGCUUUGAGGACUGGAGAGGAGACUGGAAUUUACGGUGUAGCGGUGAAAUGCGUAGAUAUCGUAAGGAAGACCAGUGGCGAAGGCGG